UGGGGAAUAUUGGACAAUGGGCGAAAGCCUGAUCCAGCCAUGCCGCGUGAGUGACGAAGGCCUUAGGGUUGUAAAACUCUUUCGUCGGGGACGAUAAUGACGGUACCCGAAGAAGAAGCUCCGGCUAACUUCGUGCCAGCAGCCGCGGUAAUACGAAGGGAGCUAGCGUUGUUCGGAAUCACUGGGCGUAAAGCGCACGUAGGCGGAUAGUUAAGUCAGGGGUGAAAUCCUGGGGCUCGAACCCCAGAACUGCCUUUGAUACUGGCUGUCUCGAGGUCGAGAGAGGUUGGUGGAAUUCCUAGUGUAGAGGUGAAAUUCGUAGAUAUUAGGAAGAACACCAGUGGCGAAAGGCGGCCAACUGGCUCGAUACUGACGCUGAGGUGCGAAAGCGUGGGGAGCAAACAGGAUU
rnacentral:rRNA from 1 species